UACGCGAGUCGGUGACGGCAAGCUAAUCUCUUAAAGCCAGCCUCAGUUCGGAUUGUAGGCUGCAGCUCGCCUACAUGAAGUCGGAAUCGCUAGUAAUCGCGGAUCAGCACGCCGCGGUGAAUACGUUCCCGGGCCUUGUACACACCGCCCGUCACACCACGAGAGUUUGUAACACCCGAAGUCGGUGAGGUAACCUUUUGGAGCCAGCCGCCUAAGGUGGGAUAGAUGAUUGGGGUGAAGUCGUAACAAGGUACC
rnacentral:rRNA from 1 species